CACCUGGUUGAUCCUGCCAGUAGUCAUAUGCUUGUCUCAAAGAUUAAGCCAUGCAUGUCUAAGUAUAAGCUUUAAACGGCGAAACUGCGAAUGGCUCAUUAAAACAGUUAUAGUUUAUUUGGUGAUCGAUUACUAUUUGGAUAACCGUAGUAAUUCUAGAGCUAAUACAUGCGUCAAGGCCCGACUUCGGAAGGGCUGCGUUUAUUAGAUACAGAACCAACCUAGGCUCCGCCUAGUCCUUGUUGGUGAUUCAUAAUAACCCGGCGAAUCGCACGGCUUGUCCGGCGAUGGACCAUUCAAGUUUCUGACCUAUCAGCUAUGGACGGUAGGGUAUUGGCCUACCGUGGCGUUGACGGGUAACGGGGAAUUAGGGUUCGAUUCCGGAGAGGGAGCCUGAGAAACGGCUACCACAUCUAAGGAAGGCAGCAGGCGCGCAAAUUACCCAAUCCUGAUACAGGGAGGUAGUGACAAGAAAUAACAAUACAGGGCAAUUCUGUCUG
rnacentral:ncRNA from 1 species